rnacentral:lncRNA from 1 species
AUGGGGCGUCAUUUGCCCCAGGGCCUUCUGAAGCUCUGGAAACGCUUCAAGCGUUGGAGAAACCGGAGGAUCCAGCCAGAGCAGCCGGUGGGCGAAGGUGGUCCAGAUGGGCCUAACCCCGUCCACGUCCAUCCUUCACCCACUCCUCAGGUGGGUCACUCAUACACACCCCAUCCACCUUCUCCUCCACGCUCUCUUAUUUUUGGUCUGCUGGUCCUUCUGUUUCUCCUUCACACUCUCCUGUUCCUUGUUGCUUUGAUGUCCUUGCCUUUUCUCCUUCACCCUCACCCUCUCCUACUCCUUCUUUUUCUUCUUUCUUCUUCCUCACUCUCUUCUGCUUCCUCUGGUACUUGGUGCUCUGACAUCUUUCCUUUUUCUCCUUACCCUUCUCCUUCUCCUUCACCCUCGUCCUAUUCCUUCUUUGUCUUCUUCUUCUUCCUCACUCUCCUCUGCUUACUCUGCUUCUCUGUGCUCUGACAUCUCUUCUUUUUCUCCUUACCCCCUGUCCUACUCCCGCUUUUUUCUUCUUCCUCGCCCUCCUCUGCUUACUCUAGUACUUGUUGCUCUGAUGUCCUUCCAUUUUGUCCUUCACCCUCUCCUGUUCCUAGUUGCUCUGCUGUCCUUCCUCUUUCUCUCCUUCACCCUCUUCUACUCCUUGUUCUUCCUUCUCCUCACCCUCUUCUGCUUACUCUUGUCUUGUUUACCCUCUCCUGUGACGGAGAGAGUGAAGGAGCUCAUCCAGCAGCUCAUCUUUCCAGGAGAGGUAAGGAAGACAGUGAUGAGGAGGGGGCUGCUCUUGGAAGACUUACUGUGGGACACUGUUUCCUACAGUAAAAGCAGUCUUGGAUUUGACCCCAGGGCACCUUUUUUUAGUUUUAUUUCUAUAUCAUAAGUUUAAAUGUUCAUUCCAACUUUGAGAACUAGCUUUUGCGUCUGGCUGGGCAGUUUUCAGGUCCCAGGAAGCGUCUGGCGCUGGGACCUUUCUUUCUUUCCUGGAUGAACACAAGUUUAAAUGUUAUUUUUUUACCCUGAGAACUAGCCUUUGCGUCUGGCUGGGCGGUUCUCAGGUCCCAGGUAGCGUCUGGCACUGGGGCCAGUUUUUAGUGUUUUUUAUAUUUUAGCAUGGCGGUUGGAUGGACUUUUCUUUCACCCUGAAGGCUGAGUUCAGCGCCUGGCAGGGCCGUCGAUCCCCCCAUGCAAGUUGCCCUAGCGUCUGGCAGGGUAGCUAUCAUGUUUCCUCCACAGCGAUAGAAGGUCAGCUCAGUCACAGUGGCACUGGGGACACAUGUCGUCUCCCACUGAAGCUCCUCGGCGGCAGAUGACUGCAGUGUCAUGUGUUAUGGAGGAGGCACAUGGCUGUCUGCAGUCCUCAUCCUGCUCCACACUAAAGGGGGCAGUGACUGACGGCUUCUGACCAUUACGUCUGUCUGUCCAGUGGACAAAAGGUGAGUACAAGAUUUGGAUUGGUUGACAGUUUCAAAGGAAGUAGUUGAAUAGAAAUACAUAUAUUUUGUAUAUGUUAAAUUUUAUGUGAGACUGAUUGAUUGAUUGUGAGCUUUUUAUUACAUGUAGGCUCAAAUGAGGAGAGGAGGUUGGAGGCCAACAGCAAACCCGAAUCAGCUCCUGCUGAAUGUAAAUAUUCAUUGAUCUGUUGUUUUUGCAGAAUAAUUGUUAUAUUCAGUCAUUUGCUCGUGUGGUCUUAUUAGUCCAACAAUUGAUUUUAAAGAGAGUAGUUGAGUAGAAAUAAAUAUGUUUGUAUUACAUUGAAAUUUAAAGUG